rnacentral:rRNA from 1 species
AGUCUGCAACUCGACUACAUGAAGCCGGAAUCGCUAGUAAUCGCGGAUCAGAAUGCCGCGGUGAAUACGUUCCCGGGUCUUGUACACACCGCCCGUCACACCAUGGGAGCCGGAAAUGCCCGAAGUCAGUGACCCAACCAAUAAGGAGGGAGCUGCCGAAGGCAGGUCUGGUGACUGGGGUGAAGUCGUAACAAGGUACC